GCCAGGCAUGGUGGCAUGUGCCUGUAGUCCUAGCUACUUGGGAGACUGAGGUGAGAGGAUCACUUGAGCCCAGGAGUUUGAGGCUACUGUGAGCCCUGAUCAUGCCACCGCACUCCAUCCUCGGCAACAGAGUGAGACUCUGUCUCUUAAAAAAUAAAUAGGCUGGGUGCAGUGGCUCACGCCUGUAAUCCCAGCACUUUGGGAGGCAGAGGCAGGUGGAUCACAAGGUCAGGAGCUGGAGACCAUCCUGGCUAACACAGUGAAACCCCAUCUCU
rnacentral:sRNA from 1 species